rnacentral:lncRNA from 1 species
UUCUUUCUCUGCACUUUCUUGAAGAAACCCUACCUCAUAACCCUCUCCUCCCUCGUUCUUCAAACUCCGACGACUGGAUUGGCUGCCAGUCGGCCUGUAUCUCCGAUGGGUUACCCACAACAUCCCCAAAUCCUCCUUCUUGUUGUACCGUUUCAACCACAACCAACUGAUCUAGAGGAUAAUUGACAAAGAGAGUGAGAUCGGGAGAAAGGAGAGAGCCGCCGCACGCGGCGGCGGCGUCGGCGAUGUGGUUUCACAGCUGUGACGAAGAGAAGCAGGAGAGCUGCUGAAGAUGAUCAAUGAUGUUAAUGGCGAUUGACGGCGUUGAAGACGGAGGUGGUUGACGGAACCAGAUUGAUUCUAUUGAAUGUAGUUAUGUAGGAUUUAUGUUGAUUGCAAUCGUUAAUGGUGAUGGAUGGGAGAACAGGUGGGUUAAAUCUGACUGGAAGAAAGAUGAGAACAUGGCAGGUCGUUGGCGGUGA